UACAGAGGUCUCAAGCGUUGUUCGGAUUCAUUGGGCGUAAAGGGUGCGUAGGCGGCGGGGUAAGUCAGGUGUGAAAUCUCGAGGCUCAACCUCGAAACUGCACUUGAUACUGCCUUGCUCGAGUACUGGAGAGGAGAUUGGAAUUUACGGUGUAGCAGUGAAAUGCGUAGAUAUCGUAAGGAACACCAGUGGCGAAGGCGAAUCUCUGGACAGUUACUGACACUGAGGCACGAAAGCCAGGGUAGCAAACAGG
rnacentral:rRNA from 1 species